AUUGAACGCUGGCGGCAGGCCUAACACAUGCAAGUCGAGCGGGGUUUUCGGACCUAGCGGCGGACGGGUGAGUAAUGCGUAGGAAGCUGCCCGAUAGAGGGGGAUACCAGUUGGAAACGACUGUUAAUACCGCAUAAUGUCUACGGACCAAAGUGUGGGACCUUCGGGCCACAUGCUAUCGGAUGCGCCUACGUGGGAUUAGCGAGUUGGUGAGGUAAUGGCCCACCUAGGCGACGAUCUCUAGCUGGCUUGAGAGGAUGAUCAGCCACACUGGAACUGAGACACGGACCAGAGUCCAACGGGAGGCAGCGGGGGGGAAUAUGGGACAAUGUGCGCAAGGCUGAUCCAGCCAUGCCGCGUGUGUGAAGAAGGCCUUCGGGUUGUAAAGCACUUUCAGCGAGGAGGAAGGGGUAGUAGUUAAUAGCUGCUACUUUUGACGUUACUCGCAGAAGAAGCACCGGCUAACUCUGUGCCAGCCGCCGCAGUAAAAC
rnacentral:rRNA from 1 species